CGAGGCGCGGCGCCGGCUCGGGCCCGAAAGUGGCUCCGUCCCGCGGCUCCCCCGCUGGCUCGGGGCGGCCCCGGGAGCGGGGGCGGGCGGGACCCCGCGCUGCCAGCCCCGGCGGGUGUCUGGCGGAGGGGCUGCAGCGGGGCUGGGGCGCCGCGCUGCCCCGGGGCCGGGCGGGGGGCUCGCCCCCGCCGGGGGCUGCAGCAGGAGCCGCCCAGCCCAGCCCUGCCCUGCCCAGCCAGGCUGCCGGGGGUCGGCGGGCGGGCGGCUCCCGGUGGGGACGGAGCUCAGCCCCGCGGGUGGGUGCCCAGCGGCAGAGCCGGCUUCGCCCCCUGCCUGCGGGGCGGCGGCUCCGACCCCCAGCCCGCGGGCGGGUUCGCGGCGGAGCGGGUAGGGCGGUUUGGCUCGUCUGAAGUGCCUCGCUAAAUGGCAGGGGAAGGCAUACGGCCCAGGAGAAAGCCGCUGCAAGCGAUAGCUGUUGGGCUCCUCCGAGUCAUUUCCCCGAGUCGGUGCUGCAGCUGAGCUGGGCAACAAGGUGCAGACUGGAAGGACAGAGACUGCUGUACAAAAAGCCCCUGCUGUGGAUGUGUUGUUUUGCAGAGUUACACAGAACAGCAGAGAUUUUUCCUAGGCUGGGAUUUUUCUCAAGUCAAUGUCAGAACUCACUUUUUUCAUAAUCGCAAAGAUUGUGGUCUCUCACAACAAGAUAAACAGAACAGGGACCUGAUGUAAUCUUCUAGAUGACAUUUCCCUUCCUGCAGCUGGUUUGGACUGAAUCUGGGGAAGCAGUUCCAGUACAUGGUCUGCAUCCAAAGGAAAGCAUUGCACCUCUGAGGACUGUUAGCUAUAGUAGGAAUGUAGUCCUUAGCAGGAGGGCUGGGCUGAAACUCUUGCCCUGCCCUGUGCUUUGAGAGGUUGUCCAUGAAUUCCGAGCUACAGCAGUGCUUCCCCACAUCUUCUGAAGGAUGCUGAACAGACUGGUGACAAGGCAGACUGAGGUGGGCACCCAGUGAAAUGUAUUCCCCAGGUCCCUCUCCCAGGUUCUCUCCUAAAAUAUCUGAAAUACUCUUACUGUUAUCUUCCUAUCAGUCCUCUUAGUUGGAUUGUCUGGAAAUAGUUACUUUCUUGUAGAAGUUCUUGCUGGUGGUAUAAGAUAGCUUGGCAGCAUCUAUGGGAAAACAGUUACAUGGGGAAGAGGUUGUUUUGAGAUUUUUUGUCUUAACUGGAAAAG